rnacentral:rRNA from 1 species
AACUGAAUCCAUAGGUUAAUGAGGCGAACCGGGGGAACUGAAACAUCUAAGUACCCCGAGGAAAAGAAAUCAACCGAGAUUCCCCCAGUAGCGGCGAGCGAACGGGGAGGAGCCCAGAGCCUGAAUCAGUGUGUGUGUUAGUGGAAGCGUCUGGAAAGGCGCGCGAUACAGGGUGACAGCCCCGUACACAAAAAUGCACAUGCUGUGAGCUCGAUGAGUAGGGCGGGACACGUGGUAUCCUGUCUGAAUAUGGGGGGACCAUCCUCCAAGGCUAAAUACUCCUGACUGACCGAUAGUGAACCAGUACCGUGAGGGAAAGGCGAAAAGAACCCCGGCGAGGGGAGUGAAAAAGAACCUGAAACCGUGUACGUACAAGCAGUGGGAGCCUCUUUAUGGGGUGACUGCGUACCUUUUGUAUAAUGGGUCAGCGACUUAUAUUCUGUAGCAAGGUUAACCGAAUAGGGGAGCCGAAGGGAAACCGAGUCUUAACUGGGCGUUAAGUUGCAGGGUAUAGACCCGAAACCCGGUGAUCUAGCCAUGGGCAGGUUGAAGGUUGGGUAACACUAACUGGAGGACCGAACCGACUAAUGUUGAAAAAUUAGCGGAUGACUUGUGGCUGGGGGUGAAAGGCCAAUCAAACCGGGAGAUAGCUGGUUCUCCCCGAAAGCUAUUUAGGUAGCGCCUCGUGAAUUCAUCUCCGGGGGUAGAGCACUGUUUCGGCAAGGGGGUCAUCCCGACUUACCAACCCGAUGCAAACUGCGAAUACCGGAGAAUGUUAUCACGGGAGACACACGGCGGGUGCUAACGUCCGUCGUGAAGAGGGAAACAACCCAGACCGCCAGCUAAGGUCCCAAAGUCAUGGUUAAGUGGGAAACGAUGUGGGAAGGCCCAGACAGCCAGGAUGUUGGCUUAGAAGCAGCCAUCAUUUAAAGAAAGCGUAAUAGCUCACUGGUCGAGUCGGCCUGCGCGGAAGAUGUAACGGGGCUAAACCAUG